GGAUUAGAUACCCUGGUAGUCCACGCCGUAAACGAUGAUAACUAGCUGUUAGGUGUUUUUUUAGACACUUAGUAGCGAAGCUAACGCGUUAAGUUAUCCGCCUGGGGAGUACGGUCGCAAGAUUAAAACUCAAAGGAAUUGACGGGGGCCCGCACAAGCGGUGGAGCAUGUGGCUUAAUUCGAUGCAACGCGAAGAACCUUACCUACCCUUGACAUCCUUGGAAAUCUCUAGAGAUAGAGAUGUGCCUUCGGGAACCAAGUGACAGGUGCUGCAUGGCCGUCGUCAGCUCGUGCCG
rnacentral:rRNA from 1 species